rnacentral:lncRNA from 1 species
UGAUAUGCCUUGUUUAUUCAGAAGAUUUCAUAUUAAAUUCUGGCCUAAAUUAAAUUCUAAAGGAUCAGAUGGUAAAUAAAUUGGUCAAGAAUUAUUGGACUCUAUUCAGACUGCUUUGACCAGAUACAGCAAAAAUAUUUCAGAAAUUCCUAUUAUAGAAGAAAGCCAUUUUGCUAAAAUUACUAAGAAAAUACAGAUUAAAAAUGGUGGUAGUUUAUCUCAAGAGGAAUUAAUUGCUGCCUACAUGGGACAAGUUACAUUCAGAGAUAGAUUACAACUGGAGAUGAUAUUUCAAUGGGAGAUAACAAUUUUGAAGACUCCCAAAGUAUCAAUAGUGUUAACUCUGAAGAAUUAGCUGAGAUUGUUAGAAAAGCAGAAGAAGAAGUUUUACAUCAAAAAUAAUGAGAUU